rnacentral:rRNA from 1 species
UGGGGAAUUUUGGACAAUGGGCGAAAGCCUGAUCCAGCAAUGCCGCGUGUGUGAAGAAGGCCUUCGGGUUGUAAAGCACUUUUGUCCGGAAAGAAAUCCUUGGCUCUAAUACAGUCGGGGGAUGACGGUACCGGAAGAAUAAGCACCGGCUAACUACGUGCCAGCAGCCGCGGUAAUACGUAGGGUGCAAGCGUUAAUCGGAAUUACUGGGCGUAAAGCGUGCGCAGGCGGUUUGCUAAGACCGAUGUGAAAUCCCCGGGCUCAACCUGGGAACUGCAUUGGUGACUGGCAGGCUAGAGUAUGGCAGAGGGGGGUAGAAUUCCACGUGUAGCAGUGAAAUGCGUAGAGAUGUGGAGGAAUACCGAUGGCGAAGGCAGCCCCCU